rnacentral:lncRNA from 13 species
AGCAUGUCAGGAAAUCCUGUCUCCCCGUUCACAGUUCAGACCCAGAGCCUGCUGCUGCUUCCAGCUUCCCCGCAGGUCCCAGCCAUCCUCAUUCCCCCUCUGUUAUGCAACGGGCUUGUAUUUCUCAGUCUCCCUGCUUAACCUCUGCUUAUUCUCAGGAAGGAGAUCCCCACAAUGACUCACUCUCUUUCAGGAUAACAGGCGGCUCCCCAGGCCCCACCUCUCCACGCUCACCUCCUUCUCCCUGGAAGGGUCCUCCUGGAAGCCUGUCUCCCCUCAGCCCCACUGCUCAGCUGUGGCUUCCGGAAUGCAGAUUCCAUGAAGGAAGGGCUUUGAUUCUCUUCAUUCACCACCGUGGCCAGUGCCUAGUGGACAACACACAUUCACUGAACGGACACAUCGUGCCAAUUGAGCAAAUUUCAGGUGGUGAGGACUUCAUUUCCUUGGCAGGGUCUCCUUGA